UAACGCGAAGAACCUUACCAGGUCUUGACAUCUUCUGAUAACCUAAGAGAUUAGGUGUUCCCUUCGGGACAGAAUGACAGGUGGUGCAUGGUUGUCGUCAGCUCGUGUCGUGAGAUGUUGGGUUAAGUCCCGCAACGAGCGCAACCCUUAUUGUUAGUUGCCAGCAUUCAGAUGGGCACUCUAGCGAGACUGCCGGUGACAAACCGGAGGAAGGCGGGGACGACGUCAGAUCAUCAUGCCCCUUAUGACCUGGGCUACACACGUGCUACAAUGGCGUAUACAACGAGUUGCCAGCCCGCGAGGGUGAGCUAAUCUCUUAAAGUACGUCUCAGUUCGGAUUGUAGUCUGCAACUCGACUACAUGAAGUCGGAAUCGCUAGUAAUCGCGGAUCAGC
rnacentral:rRNA from 1 species